GAUGAACGCUGGCGGCGUGCCUAACACAUGCAAGUCGAACGAACAGACGAGGAGUUUGCUCCGCGGACGUUAGCGGCGCACGGGUGAGAAACACGUGUAACACCCACCUAUAAGACGGGUAUAACUUCGGGAAACCGGAGCUAACACCGGAGAAUCUAUUGCACCGUAGGGUUCAAUAGUGAAAGACGGUGUUGCUGUAAGUUAUAGAUGGAUCCCGGCCGCAUUAGCUAGUAGGUGAGGUAACGGCCUACCAAGGCGACGAAGCGUAGCCGACCUGAGAGGAUGAGCAGCCGCCCUGGGACGGAGACACGGUCCAGAGUCCUACGGGAGGCAGCAGGAGGGAAUCGGGCGCAAGGGGCGGGAGCCUGACGGAGCAACGCGGCGUGAGGAAUGAGGGUCUUCGGGUCGUGAAACUCUGUUAUUAGGGAGGAACAAAUUUGUGAGUGAGUAGGCGCGUGUGUACGGUACAUGGUCAGAGAGGCACGGCUAACUUCGGG
rnacentral:rRNA from 1 species